UUGACUUUACCAGUACAUCCAAAACAACAGUGAAACAUAUUCAGUCUGCAUUCUGACUAUGGUGUAUUUAGCUCGAUGGUUUCUCUAUAGAAAAGCCAAGAAAGCAUAGUCAUAUAAAAAUCAGAAAUCUUUUGUUAGAUCACAGCAAUGGAUGGAAGCAUGGAGAAAUCAAAAUCGUGCAGGAACAGAGUUGAUUUUGUGUUGCGAUUUGCUGCCAUUGCAGCUACUCUUGUAGCCGCCAUUGUUAUGGGAAGAGACAAACAGACUCUUGAUACUCCCUUUAGCCCUAUUGUUGCCAAAUACUACUACUCGCCCGCUAAUGUGCAAUUUUCUCUCUGUUUUUCUCCUCACAAUCGCAAUUUUGAAAAUCUUUUUCAGAGAUUUAUGUAGCUGUAAUUCACUGUGUUUUCUGAUGGCAGAUUUUUCGUGAUAGCAAAUUCAAUUGCUUGCGUCUAUGCUAGGUCAAGACUACCCAAUGGAGCUUUUGGUAGUUGUGCUUUUGGUUCGUCUGUUGUGGAUUGUACAAUGCCUGCGGAGCCCAGAUUAAACCGUAGCAGUGGACAGAAUGCGGAUAAGAGGGUCGAAGCACAUGUUAGUAAUAGUACCCGCACCUUACCCGGCAACAACAAAUUCUAAACCUUCAAAGCCCUAAAACCCCUAAACACCAUUUUGCGCAAAUGGGUUUUUACAGAGGCUUAGUGACCGGGACGAAAACAGAUACAGAGGAAAAAGUAGAAAGAGCUUUUCUAGCUGCAUCCACAAUAGAGGAGCUCAAGGCUUCAUUUAGAACAAUGGAGAUUGUGUUUGAUUCAGAUGAUAAGAAGCUUUGGUAUGGCUUGUCUGAGAAUGGUCAUAUCAAUUAAGCGGGUGAGGACCCAGAAACAAUUCAUAUCUAUGCCAAAAGGGGCGCUUAGGAUUCUAGAAAAACAUGAGAAGAGCUCCGUAGAGGUAGCCAUGUCUCUUCAUCUCAUGGGCUCUGUACAUUACGCACCAGCUAAGUUCCCGUGCAGAUCAAACCUAUAAGUUUUGCCGCACAGAUUCAACCGUUCGGAAAAUUUUCCGAUAAUUUAACGGCGCGAGGAAUUGAAAUCCGGUGGGCAAGGCCCACAUUAAAAAGCCGAUUUUGAAAGUUAUAUGAUUUACAGGACUUAAGUUGUUUUUGGAAAGUUGAGAUUUUUGGAAAGUUGAGUUUUUUGGAAAGUAGAGAUUUUUGGAUUAGGAGUUUUCUAUAUUUAUAUGGUCUUGUUUAAGUUUUUUUGAUAUUCAGUUCUUAGAAAGUAAUUUUUGGGGAGAUUUUUUUUAAUGGCUUUUAGGGUUUUAAAAUUUGGUGGUUAAAAGCCAGAUUGAGCCAGAAUAAUAUUGAUAUUGAUUUUGGAAGCUGGAUGGAUUCAGUUUGCUUGAGGUAAAGGAGUGCUGGGAUAGCUGAUCCUUGUCAAGGUCCACAUCGGCAGGCAUAAAGAGUAUAAGUAAUAUUGUGAGUCAGUUAGUAACAAGGGUUCUGUUCAUAGUGAUAAUUUUCCCUUUACCAUACGGGACUCUGCAAAGUUUUCAAGCAUCUCAUGUAUAUCUCCUUCUGAAGCUGAACAAGCAAGCAAGUAGGAGAAGGAAAAAGAUUUUGCCAGUGCAAAAAAGAUGGAAAAUAGAGUUUCGGGCUUUCAACUGAAUUCACCGUUUCCCCGUGAGAUACUGAGUUGCAAGUACACAGUGGAAAUUUUUUAAAUUUUAAGAAAAACUAAAAGUGUAAUAAUGACUAGAGAGGUGAAUUCUGAAGCUUCCAGAGAAAGUUUGCAUCUUUUGACAGCUGGUUCUUAAAUUCCUGUUAUUAAUGGAGUCAAUUUGAACCAUGAAAAAGAUGCUGCAGGAUAAUGUAAUCAGAGAGAAGCAGAAUACUGUUCCAAUAUGAGUCAUUUACCUGUUGGAUAUAUGAUGAUUUUGAAGGGAAGCUCAUUAGUUCUGAUUUCAAUAAUCAAGAAUUUCUUUGCAUUUGUGUUCUGGCGACCAUUUUGCAGCCAGAUUAUUAACAACUGCUUUUGUACGCCAGGGAACUUCGGAACGUCUGCUGGACGAUUAUAUACUUUUGAUGGGUCGAGGUAAAGUCCAACUGAGAGGAUUCUCUAGUUCUUACAGGCCAUAUAAUUUUGUUCUGAUUCAACUAUAUUAGAUAACGACCUUGAAUGAGCAGGAAAUACAAGAUUUGGUGUUGCUCUUUCUGCCAGAGAAAUGGAUUACUAGUUCACUUUAGAAAACAGAGCAAUCUGAAACUAGUACUGCCAGAGGGGUUCCUACCUUUUGAUGGAUCCAGGUUUAGUCUAAUUUAAGAGGCUUCUCUUUGCUUUUAAAUUUUCCGUAGAGAAUGUCUGUGCCAGUGUAGCUGAUGUGGAAGAAGAAAUGACUGAUCUAUUUCAAAAUUCACGGUUGUGGCAUCACAGAGAAUUCAUCUAUAGAAAUGUUUUAGAUAGAGAAUUGAAAUGUAGACCUAAUACUUUGUUGCUGUUAUGUUCCACAUAGUGUUGUGAUCCAUGGGCUGAGGAUAUAAAUAUCUCUUCAGAACUCAAUAUUAUUAUCUAGAACAGCCAAUUGCUUUGAAGUGCUCUCUGUUUCCUCAAGGCUCAGAAUGGACAAAAACAUUGUGUGGGACUUAACUGCAAUUUCAGUGUUUAGUCUGCAUUCCAAACCUGAAGCAUUUCUGUGGGUACAAUCUCUUACACCACCCCAAUAUGGAAGCUUCAAAUAAAACAAUGUCUUCAGAUAAUCGUCAAAUGGGUCAAUAACAACAAGCAAAACCUCUUCAAUUGGACUGAACUUGGAGCCGUCAAAAGCUAUGAAUUCUGUAAUGCUCUAGCAGUAAAUCUCUCAGAUUUCCUUAAUGUAUAUACAGUAGAAUCUAACAAAACUAGAAAAUUCUCCAGCAUUAUUCCUGGUAUAGAAACAGGCAUCAUAAUCAAUUUAUGUGGCAGAGGUCAAUGAGGAGCAAAUUUAAAUCCAUCAGUUCUUGCUCACUCAUUUUAGAAUUGAUUAAUAAGAUCAAACUUUAUUUUGUCAUCUAAAAGCACCCGAAUCACUAGGCAAUCUUGGAUGAGAACAAUAGUUUACUUUGUUGAUCCCUUUGAUCCGGUGCUUCAUCAUCUUUGAAGAACCUGAUGCUGCAGCAUCGUUUUUCAACUAUGAAGAAUUUAUAGAUGGAUAUUUAGAGGUCAUAUCUUUAAAUGUUGUCGAGUUCUUUGUUAAACAAAGACACCUUACUCUAGAAGCUUCAGAAUUCACUUCUCCAGUCAAUAUUGCCCUUUUCUGUUUAUCUGUUUAUUUAGACUUUAGCAAGCCUUCUUUAUGGUUUGCAACUUGGUUUACCUAUUGGGAACUGAAUUAUUUUCCAAAAACUUGAGUAAUUUUUCGCUUUGAUAUUGGGACCUUGUUCCUUUGGUCCUAACAGUUACAGUGCCUUGUUAUAUAGUAAACCUAAAGCUUUUCUGUAACCCUGAUUAAUUGUAAUUCCUAUGUAUAGCAAGAUAAUUGCUUG